rnacentral:tRNA from 1 species
UCUCAGGUGGCCUAGUGUUAAAGAAUCUGCCUGCAAUGCAGGAGACCCGGGUUCAGUCCCUGGGUUGGGAA